rnacentral:rRNA from 1 species
CAAUAGCGUAUAUUAAAGUUGUUGCAGUUAAAAAGCUCGUAGUUGGAUUUGUGGCGUACGGUGUGUUCCGGGCACUUGUUGUCUGAGUAACCUGCUGUUGCCAUCCUUGGGUGGAACCUGUGUGGCAUUAGGUUGUCGUGCAGGGGAUGCCCAUCAUUUACUGUGAAAAAAUUAGAGAGUUCAAAGCAGGCUUAUGCCGUUGAAUAUAUUAGCAUGGAAUAAUGAGAUAGGACUUUUUUGCUAUUUUGUUGGUUUGCGCAAAGAGGUAAUGAUUAAUAGGGACAGUUGGGGGUAUUCGUAUUCCAUUGUCAGAGGUGAAAUUCUUGGAUUUUUGGAAGACGAACUACUGCGAAAGCAUUUACCAAGGAUGUUUUCAUUAA